AGCCCUUUUCUCUCCUGAAUGAAUAAACAUGAAUAAACAAACUCUGUUCUUAUCAGCUUAAAUCUGAUACGGGUCCUAUUUGGGCCCAAGAUAUUAAACUUAUUUUGGAACGGGGCGGAGCGCUUGGAGCUUGCUUCACCUCCGCCACGGGUUAGCCCGGUAUUGCACUCAUCCUCCGGGAUCGGCCUACUCACC